rnacentral:rRNA from 1 species
AUUGAACGCUGGCGGCAGGCCUAACACAUGCAAGUCGAACGGUAACAGGAAGAAGCUUGCUUCUUUGCUGACGAGUGGCGGACGGGUGAGUAAUGUCUGGGAAACUGCCUGAUGGAGGGGGAUAACUACUGGAAACGGUAGCUAAUACCGCAUAACGUCGCAAGACCAAAAGGGGGACCUUCGGGCCUCUUGCCAUCGGAUGUGCCCAGAUGGGAUUAGCUAGUAGGUGGGGUAACGGCUCACCUAGGCGACGAUCCCUAGCUGGUCUGAGAGGAUGACCAGCCACACUGGAACUGAGACACGGUCCAGACUCCUACGGGAGGCAGCAGUGGGGAAUAUUGCACAAUGGGCGCAAGCCUGAUGCAGCCAUGCCGCGUGUAUGAAGAAGGCCUUCGGGUUGUAAAGUACUUUCAGCGGGGAGGAAGGGAGUAAAGUUAAUACCUUGGCUCAUUGACGUUACCCGCAGAAGAAGCACCGGCUAACUCCGUG